rnacentral:rRNA from 14 species
AGUUUGAUCCUGGCUCAGAACGAACGCUGGCGGCAGGCCUAACACAUGCAAGUCGAGCGAGACCUUCGGGUCUAGCGGCGGACGGGUUAGUAACGCGUGGGAACGUACCCUUUUCUAAGGAAUAGCCACUGGAAACGGUGAGUAAUGCCUUAUACGCCCUUCGGGGGAAAGAUUUAUCGGAGAAGGAUCGGCCCGCGUUAGAUUAGAUAGUUGGUGGGGUAAUGGCCUACCAAGUCUACGAUCUAUAGCUGGUUUGAGAGGAUGAUCAGCAACACUGGGACUGAGACACGGCCCAGACUCCUACGGC